rnacentral:lncRNA from 1 species
GAAGGGGAGGGAUCAGUUGUAGAAACGUGAUGAUGUGUUUUGGGGUCAAAUAGGAAAUCAGCAUGCAGGUGCUACUCCCCAGGGAACAAAACAGAAAAAUGCCAUUAUGAAUAAGGCAUGGCUCUCUAGAGAAAAAACAGAUGGCUCAACCUCAGCUACCACAGCAAAAAGCUAUUUGUCAGACGUGUUGUCAGCAAGUAAUAAAGGUCGAAAUCCUGUGGGUAGGAGUCAGCUGCACGGGAAAGAAUAAAACCUGCAGAAAUAAAACAAGGGAUGACUUUGCCAGUUGGAUCAGUCUCCAUUAUUUAACAGUGAGAAGAGGCAGCCUGAUGUUUGAUUCAGAGAGAUGAGGAUGAAUUAAGAUGUUGCAAUAUGACUUUCAAUGCAGAAUACAAGGAAAGAACAUAUCAGUCACACAGAAGAAGCAGUAGAGCUCCCAAGGACUGAUGAAAUGUGCUUUGCCCUGGUGGUGACUGCAGCUGCUACGUCAUGUGAAAAAAAUGAGAAGUUGCCCUAAAUUACCAUCUGCGACGUUUUAGCCACCUCCUGUAGUGGAAGCUGGUCAUGUGGGCCAACCCUCUGUGUGGUUUGAGACUGAGUGUCGUUUUGCUUUCUUGGGAUCUCAGCAUUUGCAUUUUAAAGCAAUUACCAAGUUAAGCACAAUCUCUGUGUUCAUGGGUCUGCCUGCAUGGGCAUGUAGGUAUCUUCAGCCUCGUAUGGCUUUGAGAAUUUCUGAAAGAGCCUUUGAUCUGGGUUGGGAUGUUUAGUAUUUCUGAGGGCACAUACUUGAGGGUACAAACUGUUUAGCAAAUGAGACAGAAUGGCAUUUUUACAAGGGUAAGUAGGAAUUGGGAAUGUACUUCACGUGUGCUGAGAGGCACUUGGAACAUCAGAGUGCUGUGUCCUAAUACUCUGAGUAUUUCAACCGCAUGAAUAGGCCACACUGAAUUUAACUUUCAGAAAAGUCAUUUGCGGGCAUACAUGCUUUUCCUGAAAUAGGUGUGUUUGUGCAC